rnacentral:rRNA from 1 species
UACGUAGGGUGCGAGCGUUGUCCGGAAUUAUUGGGCGUAAAGGGCUCGUAGGCGGUUUGUCGCGUCGGGAGUGAAAACCUCGGGCUUAACUCGGGGCUUGCUUUCGAUACGGGCAGACUAGAGGUAUGCAGGGGAGAACGGAAUUCCUGGUGUAGCGGUGAAAUGCGCAGAUAUCAGGAGGAACACCGGUGGCGAAGGCGGUUCUCUGGGCAGGAUCUGACGCUGAGGAGCGAAAGCGUGGGGAGCGAACAGG